CAAUUAUACAGCGAAACUGCGAAUGGCUCAUUAUAUAAGUUAUCGUUUAUUUGAUAGUACCUUACUACUUGGAUAACCGUGGUAAUUCUAGAGCUAAUACAUGCUAAAAAUCCCGACUUCGGAAGGGAUGUAUUUAUUAGAUUAAAAACCAAUGCCCUCUGGGCUCUCUGGUGAUUCAUGAUAACUUCUCGAAUCGCAUGGCCUUGCGCCGGCGAUGGUUCAUUCAAAUUUCUUCCCUAUCAACUUUCGAUGUUUGGGUAGUGGCCAAACAUGGUUGCAACGGGUAACGGAGGGUUAGGGCUCGACCCCGGAGAAGGAGCCUGAGAAACGGCUACUACAUCCAAGGAAGGCAGCAGGCGCGCAAAUUACCCAAUCCCGACACGGGGAGGUAGUGACAAUAAAUACUGAUACAGGGCUCUUUUGGGUCUUGUAAUUGGAAUGAGUACAAUUUAAAUCCCUUAACGAGGAACAAUUGGAGGGCAAGUCUGGUGCCAGCAGCCGCGGUAAUUCCAGCUCCAAUAGCGUAUAUUAAAGUUGUUGUGGUUAAAAAGCUCGUAGUUGAACCUUGGGCCUGGCUGGCCGGUCCGCCUCACCGCGUGUACUGGUCCGGCCGGGCCUUUCCCUCUGUGGAACCCCAUGCCCUUCACUGGGUGUGGCGGGGAAACAGGACUUUUACUUUGAAAAAAUUAGAGUGCUCCAGGCAGGCCUAUGCUCGAAUACAUUAGCAUGGAAUAAUGAAAUAGGACGUGCGGUUCUAUUUUGUUGGUUUCUAGGACCGCCGUAAUGAUUAAUAGGGACAGUCGGGGGCAUCAGUAUUCAAUUGUCAGAGGUGAAAUUCUUGGAUUUAUUGAAGACUAACUACUGCGAAAGCAUUUGCCAAGGAUGUUUUCAUUAAUCAGGAACGAAAGUUAGGGGAUCGAAGACGAUCAGAUACCGUCGUAGUCUUAACCAUAAACUAUGCCGACUAGGGAUCGGACGAUGUUAUUUUUUGACUCGUUCGGCACCUUACGAGAAA
rnacentral:rRNA from 1 species